GGGCGAGUGGCGGAAUGGCAGACGCGCCAGACUCAAAAUCUGGUGAGGUACCCCCUUGUGAGGGUUCAAGUCCCUCCUCGCCCA
rnacentral:tRNA from 1 species